GCCUCCCAUCCUAUUCAAAGUUACACCUAAGCUCACUGAGAUAAAUGCAUAUCUGAUUGCCUCCUUUGGAGAGGCUCAUCAGAAACUCAAAAGAAUGCAACCAUUUGUUUCUUAUCUACCUAUGACCUGGAAGCCCCCUCCUAGCUUUCCAGACCGAACAUCUCACAUAUGUUGAUUGAUGUCUGUCUCCCUAAAAUGUAUAAAACCAAACUGUGCUCUGACCACCUUGGGCACUUGUCAUCAAGACCACCUCAGGCUGUGUCACAGGUGUGCAUCCUCAAUCUUGGCAAAAUAAACUUUCUAUAUUAACGGAGGCCUGUCUCAAAUAUUUGGGGUUCACAGCAUGUAUAAGCCAGAAGGUGCUCAGUUCUUCCAAAACUAAGGGUUCCAUCUUUAUGUGAAAUAUUGGCUUUGGAGAUCAGGUUCCCUUAAUCAACUUGGCUAAUAACUUUUUUUUUCCUAUCUAAGCCUGCAAGAAAAAUGAAAUAAAGAGGAGAAUAGGAAAAUCCCCAUGAAUUUCCAAAAGCCAAAUUUUACACCCCCUGCAAUAUUGCCAUUUACUACUGGUUUCUUUCUGACCCAGUCAGAUAUAAGAGGCCUAUAACUGGAUCCAUGCCAGUUAAUUAUCAGAUCCAAUCCGAUCCUGGGCUUACUCCAGUUUCUAUUGUGACUUCCAAACCCAGUUUGGGUCAGAAAUUUGCUCAAAGACAUUGGAGACCCCAAAACACAAAUCUGUGGAGCUUCAGAAUCUAAGAGAGAACUUGCCACGAUCCCCAGUUGCUAUGAGAGAGAAAUGGACACAAUAGUGUGGGCAAAAAGAGUCAAACUCUGUAAAAUAUUCUCAGAGAUUUAUUCUGAGCCACAUGUGAGUGACCAUGGCCCAUGACACAGCCCUCAGGAGGUCCUGAGAACAUGUGGCCAAGGUGGUCGGGGUGCAGCUUGGUUUUACAUACUUUAGGGAGGCAUGAGACAGCAAUUAAAUACAUUUAAGAAAUACAAUAGUUUGGUUCAGAAAGGCGGGACAACUCAAAGUGGGGAGCUUCCAGACUAUAGGUAAAUUUAAACAUUUUCUGGUCGAUAGUUGAUUGAGUUUAUCUGAAGACUGGGGAUCAAUAGAAAGAAAAUGUUUAGGCUAAGAUAAAGGAUUGUGUGGCCGGGUGCAGUGGCUCACACCUGUAAUUCCAGCACUUAGGGAAGCUGAAGCAGACGGAUCACCUGAGGUCAGGAGUUCAAGACCAGCCUGACCAACAUGGUGAAACCUCAUCUCUACCAAAAAUACAAAAUUAGCCAGGCCUGGUGGCACAUGCCUGUAAUCCCAGCUACUUGGGAGGCUGAGGCAGGAGAAUUGCUUGAACCUGGGAGGCGGAGGUUGCAGUGAGCUGAGAUCACGCCAUUGCACUUCAGCCUGGGCAACAAGAGCAAAACUCUGUCUCAAAAAAAAUAAAAGAAAAAAAA
rnacentral:lncRNA from 1 species